rnacentral:rRNA from 1 species
UGCCAGCCGCCGCGGUAAUACGGAGGGUGCAAGCGUUGUUCGGAAUUAUUGGGUUUAAAGGGUGCGUAGGUUGUUUAUUAAGUCAGUGGUGAAAUCCUACGGCUUAACUGUGGAACUGCCAUUGAUACUGAUAGACUUGAGUGUCGUUGAGGCAGGCGGAAUUUAUGGUGUAGCGGUGAAAUGCAUAGAUACCAUAAAGAACACCGAUAGCGAAGGCAGCUUGCUUAGCGGCAACUGACACUGAGGCACGAAAGCGUGGGUAGCGAACAGGAUUAGAUA